UGAACGCUACGGGAUGCUCACCAUGCAGUCGAACGGCAGCGCGGACUUCGGUCUGGCGGCGAGUGGCGAACGGGUGAGUAAUGUAUCGGAACGUGCCCAGUAGCGGGGGAUAACUACGCGAAAGCGUAGCUAAUACCGCAUACGCCCUACGGGGGAAAGCGGGGGACCUUCGGGCCUCGCACUAUUGGAGCGGCCGAUAUCGGAUUAGCUAGUUGGUGGGGUAAAGGCCUACCAAGGCGACGAUCCGUAGCUGGUUUGAGAGGACGACCAGCCACACUGGGACUGAGACACGGCCCAGACUCCUACGGGAGGCAGCAGUGGGGAAUUUUGGACAAUGGGGGCAACCCUGAUCCAGCCAUCCCGCGUGUGCGAUGAAGGCCUUCGGGUUGUAAAGCACUUCUGGCAGGAAAGAAACGGCUCUGGCUAAUACCUGGGGCAACUGACGGUACCUGCAGAAUAAGCACCGGCUAACUACGUGCCAGCAGCCGCGGUAAUACGUAGGGUGCAAGCGUUAAUCGGA
rnacentral:rRNA from 1 species